rnacentral:misc_RNA from 1 species
UAGUAGAAUCGAGGCACCUGGGCUGUCGCCGUCCUCAAGGACGUGCACGCUCAGAGUGCUCUCUCACAUCCAUCUCUCACCCCUUUGUGCAUCACCGCGUGGGCCCCUUCUCUUCUGGCUUGUUCCGGAGAAGGGGGGGGUUCACGUUUUUAUAAGAACGACCCAUCUAUGCAUGUGUAGAACGUCUUACAUUAAUA